rnacentral:rRNA from 1 species
AGGGUGUAAACGCUGCAGACUUGGUGUUGGAAGUCCUUUGGGGGCAUUCAGUGCCGGAGAGAAGUUGUUAAGUCUGCUACUUGGGGAGUACGUCCGCAAGGAUGAAACUUAAAGGAAUUGGCGGGGGGAGCACCGCAACGGGAGGAGCGUGCGGUUUAAUUGGAUUCAACACCGUAAAACUCACCAGGGAAGACUGUUACAUGAAAGCCGAGAUGAAGACUCUGCUAGAUUUUCAGAGAGGUGGUGCAUGGGCGUCAGUGACU